rnacentral:rRNA from 1 species
UACGGAGGGGGCUAGCGUUAUUCGGAAUUACUGGGCGUAAAGCGCACGUAGGCGGACUGGAAAGUUGGGGGGUGAAAGCCCAGGGCUCAACCCUGGAACUGCCUUCAAAACUCCCAGUCUUGAGGUCGAGAGAGGUGAGUGGAAUUCCGAGUGUAGAGGUGAAAUUCGUAGAUAUUCGGAGGAACACCAGUGGCGAAGGCGGCUCACUGGCUCGAUACUGACGCUGAGGUGCGAAAGCGUGGGGGGGCAAACAGG